ensembl:lncRNA
GCACAGUUGAUUGACACCCGUUUUGUUUGAUUUAAUUAAUGUGGGGGGGCUGGUUGACCUCUGAUGACCUGUAGAAAUUUUUAUUAAUAUCUUUAAAAUGAUAGCAGCACAAACGAAAAAUUUUGCAGCACAAACCAGCACAAACGUAGCACAAACGUUUGAUACCACUUUUGUUUGAUUUGAAGAAGGUGGGGGGGCCAACUUCACUCACAUUCCAGAAUCCACUCUGGCUGGAAUCCGGUGGAUACAGCAGUGUUUACAGGUAAGACCAUUUAAACGGACAGCAUUUAUAGAAUGACUAUUAAAAGUCAGCGAGUGUCAAUAAUGUUAAUGUGGUUAUGUUAGUAAUACACUGAGUGCUAAUAUAACAGCUUUAAGAUACAUUUGUAGAUAUAUUGUAGUAAAGCUGUUACUGUUUAAACAAUGUUGGGACAGAAAUAUUAGCUUCUGUCAUGACUGAUGAAGUUACUAGUUAAUAAAGUUUCCAGUAAAGUGAUUAAUCGCAGCCACAGAUUGACAGUAAAUAUCUCGAUUAGCUUCAAUGCAUCUGUAAUAAAUACAGUAUGUGCAAGUUUCAGUGCUUCGUAUAAACUGUAUGAUACUUAUACUGACCCAGGGUCAGUGUAAAAUACAAUCCUAGCUGUGUGAACAAAGCCUGGCUCCUUUAAUCCUGCAUGACAAACCUCAGGAUGCAGGUUAUUAUGACUCUUUCCUGCUGGCACACCUGUCACACCUGAGAGUCAGCUAGAAACUUACAGUGACGUGGACAUCAUGCAAAGACUGCCAGACUCUGUAAUACUGUAAAUGAUCAGUGACUCAGGUUAACACUAAACUUUAAACAGUCCCUCUGUGUCUCUGUGUGUGCUGAGCAUCUAGGAUUGAGUCAGGCUGCAUUGACUGUGGGACUUUUCUCUGUUAAAAGCAGGUUGAAGACGGCUCAGAAACAUUUGAAGAUUAAAAUUUAGCAUUAUGGCUGCUGGUGGUGUGUAAAGCUUCUACUCAGCUGUAUUUUUGUUACUAAUUUAUGUUUGUUGUUGUUUAACACAGAUUUCAGAAGAGCAAAGAUGAGCACUGUUGCUUAAUCCUUAAUAGUUUAACUGGAUUGGAAAUCAAAAAAUUCCAGAUUCUUCUUCCACAGAAGUUUUAUUUGUCAGUGUGGAUCUGCUGAGUCACCUGAAGAACUCAUUUCAUUCAUUCUCCACGAUGUUGAUUUACAGAAAUGUUUCACAGGAACUGAUUCCUCCCAAAGGGUGAACUAGUGUGUUUCCAUAGAUUAUCUCUGUAUGAAUGUACUUCUUAAAUGAAGGCAAGUGUUUGUCCUGUUUGUUCCUCAGGUACAGCACGUGAUAUUAAGGGCAGGCAGUCAUCACUGGGGGAAGACAAGAAGCAAACGUACUUCCAAGAGGGAGCUGCAGUGAGGACACAGCCUGGUCACUGAGGUCAGAGGAGGUGCUGAAAGGUUUCCCGAAUAGUUCCUGGUGAAUCAAAGCAGAACCAUAAAGGUUGCUGGACUGCAUGAUGGCCUUACCCCUGAGCAGUCAUCCUGUUAAAGGAGGAACCAGUUAGAAGCUGUUUUCAAAGCAGAUUUCAUCUCAACAGACAAAGCCGAUGGCAGAAGGUGUUUGGAGAAGAACUUCAGGCCGUGGACUGAAAAGUAGAUCAAAGCACCUCGUGCUCUUUCUGCUUCCAUUUUAAUGGCAAGAAGAAGAAGAAGAAGAAGACUUCAGCGAAGUGGCGUUCAUGGUCUCAGUGGACAGUCAUGGUCACACACUGCAUGUGUUUUUAAAAGCAACAUGUCUGUUCAUCACAACAAUGGAGAUGUGUAAUAUUAGUGCAGCUACGGUUUGUUCUUGAACAUCAGUUCUGUUUUCUACUUUGACCACUUAGACCAAAAAAGUGUUGUUUUCAGAUUCUUUCUUUUAAAUCUAUAAAGCACCUGUUCAUUUUUUAUUACAAUUAGUUUCACAUAAAUGUUAGUGUUUCCUUUAUGAUCUUUUAAUCCUUACACUACACUGUACACGUCUACAUUAGAGACAUUUCUGUUACCUAUGUAUGAGACUGGGCUGCUUGACUACGAUUUGGAAAUGGAUGCAAAAUCACACGGAUUGUGCAAUUGUUUGUUUUUUAAUACGGUGGACUGAACACAGGAGGUAUCUGACUAAGCAAAGAUUAAUCUGAGCCCAUUUCUACCUGUCUCUACUGUUUCAACUGUAACUGUCAGGAUAUAUAUUUAUUCCAGCUCUCAUAGGGCAAAGGAAUGACUCAGACGUGUCAAAUGUUCUUUGACUUGAUACACAAUAUGAAGUUCACAAUUUUCUUACAAAUAAAACUAUAAUGACAAACAUGAACAGCUGUGCUUAUUUCUGAGACAUGAUUUUUUUGAAUGUGUUCAUAUUU